GAUGAACGCUGGCGGCGUGCCUAAUACAUGCAAGUCGAGCGGUAAGGCUCCUACUCUGUGUUUAAGGAAAUUUGAACAUAGGGUUGGAGUACACGAGCGGCGGACGGCUGAGUAACACGUAGGAACGUACCCCAAAGUGAGGGAUAAGCACCGGAAACGGUGUCUAAUACCGCAUGUGGUCUUCGGACUAAAGCUCCGGCGCUUUGGGAACGGCCUGCGCAUGAUUAGCUUGUUGGGAGUAU
rnacentral:rRNA from 1 species